UUCGACACACUAUCAUUAACUGAAUCCAUAGGUUAAUGAGGCGAACCGGGGGAACUGAAACAUCUAAGUACCCCGAGGAAAAGAAAUCAACCGAGAUUCCCCCAGUAGCGGCGAGCGAACGGGGAGGAGCCCAGAGCCUGAAUCAGUGUGUGUGUUAGUGGAAGCGUCUGGAAAGGCGCGCGAUACAGGGUGACAGCCCCGUACACAAAAAUGCACAUACUGUGAGCUCGAUGAGUAGGGCGGGACACGUGGUAUCCUGUCUGAAUAUGGGGGGACCAUCCUCCAAGGCUAAAUACUCCUGACUGACCGAUAGUGAACCAGUACCGUGAGGGAAAGGCGAAAAGAACCCCGGCGAGGGGAGUGAAAAAGAACCUGAAACCGUGUACGUACAAGCAGUGGGAGCCUCUUAAUGGGGUGA
rnacentral:rRNA from 1 species